UGAAUUAACAUUCAUUUAUGUGAAAAUGACAUGACUAAUUUAGAGCAUUGAAAUGAUUUCUUAAUAUGUGAUUAUCUCUGGUUCUUUUCUCCCAAUGCCGCUCAGCCGUUCGACCCAGGGUCCCGAUUAAAUAUGGAUGACAUAGACCUAUUGAAGACACGCGCAUGGAGAAAGGAGAAACAUGAAGAGCAUAUGCAACAACCAUGGUAGCAAUUGAAAGGGAACAGUUUGGAGAUCAUGGGAAAAGUAUUAGACCCAAGGAAACAACAUUGCCGUCAUCGUAAGGGUUGGAAUUUGCCAGGGACCUCGCUAUACGAUAUUAUCACAAGACUUUGGUGCCAGUGCAAUAUGGAUCCUAUAUGUAUUGCGAUUCAAUGUUCCAAACAUACUGCUCGUCAUAUGUCUGCUGCAGACAGACAAGAGAGAGCCAUGAGUCAUGGAGUCAUGGAAAUAAACGUGCUGGAAACAAAUGAAGAUGGAGAACAAGCUGUGAAGGAACAAUGCUGUUUUAAGCGCAAAAAUAAUUUUGUGAUAUUGUCAAAGCGAUGCUAAUAUAUCAUAAAAAAAAUAUGCAACUGUAUACAUUUUCUCCCCCGUACACUAAUUAUUAUGAUAAUCAAACAGACUGUGGAUUUAGUUCAUUA